rnacentral:rRNA from 1 species
GUAGGUGGCAAGCGUUGUCCGGAAUUAUUGGGCGUAAAGCGCGCGCAGGCGGUUCUUUAAGUCUGAUGUGAAAGCCCACGGGCUCAACCGUGGAGGGUCAUUGGAAACUGGGGAACUUGAGUACAGAAGAGGAAAGCGGAAUUCCACGUGUAGCGGUGAAAUGCGUAGAGAUGUGGAGGAACACCAGUGGCGAAGGCGGCUUUCUGGUCUGUAACUGACGCUGAGGCGCGAAAGCGUGGGGAGCAAACAGGAUUAGAUACCCUGGUAGUCCACGCCGUAAACGAUGAGUGCUAAGUGUUAGGGGGUUUCCGCCCCUUAGUGCUGCAGCUAACGCAUUAAGCACUCCGCCUGGGGAGUACGGCCGCAAAGGCUGA